UUCAAACACUGAUUCUUGUACGAUCACCGAAGUUAAGCAACGUCGAUCCUGGUCAGUACCUAGAUGGGUGACCUCUUCGAAAUAUCAGGUACUGUA